AUUGAACGCUAGCGGGAUGCUUUACACAUGCAAGUCGAACGAGUGGCGGACGGGUGAGUAAUAAAUCGGAACGUGCCCAGUAGCGGGGGAUAACUACUCGAAAGAGUGGCUAAUACCGCAUACUAUUGCAGCGGCCGAUAUGGGAUUAGCUAGUUGGUGGGGUAAAGGCUACCCAAGGCCACGAUCCGUAGCUGGUGUGAGAGGACGACCAGCCACACUGGGACUGAGACACGGCCCAGACUCCUACGGGAGGCAGCAGUGGGGAAUUUUGGACAAUGGGCGAAACCCUGAUCCAGCCAUGCCGCGUGUAUGAGAAGGCCUUCGGGUUGUAAAGUACUUUUAGCAGGGAAGCGGUAUCUGCAGAAUAAGCACCGGCUAACUACGUGCCAGCAGCCGCGGUAAUUC
rnacentral:rRNA from 1 species